AAUUUGUAAUUUCGGGUCUUCUACACAUGCACACACUGUAUCCAUCAUCUGCUCCAUAAUUGCGAUCAUUAGGCACACAACUAAGCUCUUCGGAUGUCAAUUUUGUCCAAGUUUAUCGUUUCUUAAUUAUGUAUCUCAUACAUGCGCGAUAAGAAAGAAAUUCGUGCCCAACGGAAUAAAUAAAAGAAAAUUUACCACGACUAGAAUUAGAAAAUCCAAAUAGUCGUUAAGUCCUACCGUUCGUGAUCCCAGUAAAAAUACUUAAAAAAAGACGCUGAAUAGCCAACUCUCAUCGUGCAAAAUGAAAGUAUUUGUCUGGAUUUUUACUCUGCUCGCAAUGGUGGGGCUGGUUUUGUCUGCAGACGCCUCAUUUCGAGCUGGACGAGUGCCAGUGAGCACGAAGGAGUCGAACCGGAGGCGUCGUUAACACAUAGUUAAUUUUCAUUUGAGAAAAAUUUACAAUUUUAUUUUUAUCACGCACAAAAAUUA